UACGAAGGGGGCUAGCGUUAUUCGGAAUUACUGGGCGUAAAGCGCACGUAGGCGGACUUGUCAGUCAGGGGUGAAAUCCCGAGGCUUAACCUCGGAACUGCCUUUGAUACUGCAAGUCUUGAGGAUGAGAGAGGUAAGUGGAACUGCGAGUGUAGAGGUGAAAUUCGUAGAUAUUCGCAAGAACACCAGUGGCGAAGGCGGCUUACUGGCUCAUUUCUGACGCUGAGGUGCGAAAGCGUGGGGAGCAAACAGG
rnacentral:rRNA from 1 species